rnacentral:rRNA from 1 species
UACAGAGGGUGCGAGCGUUAAUCGGAAUUACUGGGCGUAAAGAGCGCGUAGGCGGCUUUUCAAGUCGAGUGUGAAAUCUCCAGGCUUAACCUGGAAAAGUCGCUCGAUACUGUUGAGCUAGAGUGUGGAAGGGGCUACUGGAAUUCCGUGUGUAGCGGUGAAAUGCGUAGAUAUACGGAGGAACACCAGUGGCGAAGGCGGGUCUCUGGGCCGAUACUGACGCUGAGGAGCGAAAGCGUGGGGAGCGAACAGG